ACCUCGCUUACUCCCUUCAUGGUUCAAGUUCUUGUUUGUAGCCAAGAUUGGCUAAGGCGUUCUACUCCUAUCAAUAUUGAAGAGGAUAUGGAGGAAUUAGAGAUCUUGGAAAAAGAAUUACUAGAAGAGUAUGCUACUGCAAAGUCUGCCAAGUCGAAGACAUCACAAGCUAGCAAUACUUGUUCAACUUAAACUUGGUGAGCACAAAUGCUUAAUCUUCUAUAUGGGCAGAAAGUUUAGUAUGACUGGUUUAUACAACCAUUGGUUUCCAGGAUGUUUUGAUACAGGGUUUAGAUCUCCCUUCGAUGAUAUUGUGGGCAAGGAAGCAAGGAGUAUGUCUUUGUUGCCAACUCAGACAACUUGGGUGCCAAUUUUCUCGUCUCUGGCUUGUUAGGCUGUUUACUGAAUGCUGAGUGUUCUGCCCCAAAGUCUGGUGAAUCGACUUGAAUGGACUGUGCUGUGCUGUACUACAUGGCAAAUCUGUGUAAUCUCCGCUUUGAUAGCAUGUAAAGCACAUUCUACCGAUUUCCUAUUAUCCUCUGUCCUGUUACUUGGCCAA